CCCAUUCACACACAUUCAUACACUGAUGGCAGGCAGCUACCACGCAGGGUGCCAACCUGCACAUCAGGAGGAAGCUAACCAUUCACUCGCAUUCAUACACCGUUGGCACAGCAACGGGAGCAAUUAGGGGUUAAGUCUUGCCCAAAGACACAUCGACAUGUAGACUGGAGGAGCCGGGAAUCGAACCUUCCAAUUGGAGGACGACCGCUCUACCUCCUGAGCCACAGCCGCCCCUCUUCUUGAAGAUGAACCCAGAGACAACAUCUUCUAUUACAAUGAGGAGGGAGGAGGUGAAGACGAGCAGAAGGGGGUAGAGAGGAGUAGAGAUUUAGGGAAUAUGACCUGAGUCAACUCCACAGUGGGCUGGAUAACCAUCCUGCGGUGUAACAUGACAUUUAUAAAUUAGCCAAAUUUCUGUCUAUCUUCCCACAGUUUUGUAUGACCUCUUUCUGCUGUGCUUUCUGUUUUUUCAGACUUGGUAGUCGUCAUAUUUAAUUGUAUAUGUGUCCAAAGCUUACUUUGUGAUUGUUUCCAUGAUGUAAUAAUAGUAUUGCUCAUCUUUCCUGCCAAAAUGUAAUUGCAUAAAUAAAAGUAUACAUCAUUCUCUCAGUAAUGAUAUUAAGCAACAACUUCAGUCACAUAGGUUACUGGAAUUCUCAGUUAUGCCUAAUUCAAAGCUGAUUCACAUAAAUGUUACAGUGGACAGUAUGUGGAAAAGUGAUUGUUUGGUGUGUAGGUUGCUGGCUGUGCAAAUGAGACAUUCAAUUACAACUGAGAAUAAAGGCUACUCUUUCCUUGA